UAUUGAAAUAAACCUGAUAGGUUGUUGCUGGUUCUCUCGGGAGCAUGUGUGCACACUUGUCAUCUUUACAUGUCUUCCACCUGUGCACAUUUUGUAAAUCUUGAAUAUCUCUCUGAAUGCGCCUGGUGUAUUCAGGUUUGAGGAUUGAUCUUUUUCUUUCCUUACAUUUUCAGGUUUAUGUUUUUCAUAUACCACAAGUAUGUUAUAGAAUGUUAUAAACGGGCCUUUUGUGCCUAUAACUUUAUACAACUUUCAGCAACGGAUCUCUUGGCUCUUGCAUCGAUGAAGAACGCAGCGAAAUGCGAUAAGUAAUGUGAAUUGCAGAAUUCAGUGAAUCAUCGAAUCUUUGAACGCACCUUGCGCUCCUUGGUAUUCCGAGGAGCAUGCCUGUUUGAGUGUCAUUAAUAUAUCAACCUCUUCAGCUUUUUUGCAUGUUGAGUUUGGAGGUGGGGGUAUUUUUUUGCUGGACUCUAGAAUUUUAGAGGUCAGCUCCCCUCAAAUGUAUCAGCGAAACAAUUUGUUUACCGCUUCAUUGGUGUGAUAACUAUCUACGCUAUUGAUGGUAAAGCAUGUUUAGCUCCUAACAGUCCAUUAACUUGGACAAUCUCUUAUUAAUGUGACCUCAAAUCAGGUAGGACUACCCGCUGAACUUAAGCAUAUCAAUAAGCGGAGGAAAAGAAACUAACAAGGAUUCCCCUAGUAACUGCGAGUGAAGCGGGAAAAGCUCAAAUUUAAAAUCUGGCAGUCUUUGACUGUCCGAGUUGUAAUCUA
rnacentral:rRNA from 1 species